rnacentral:rRNA from 1 species
AUUGAACGCUGGCGGCAUGCCUUACACAUGCAAGUCGAACGGUAACGGGCCUUCGGGUGCCGACGAGUGGCGAACGGGUGAGUAAUGUAUCGGAACGUGCCCAGUAGUGGGGGAUAGCCCGGCGAAAGCCGGAUUAAUACCGCAUACGACCUACGGGUGAAAGGGGGGGAUCGCAAGACCUCUCGCUAUUGGAGCGGCCGAUAUCAGAUUAGGUAGGUGGUGGGGUAAAGGCCUACCAAGCCUGCGAUCUGUAGUUGGUCUGAGAGGACGACCAGCCACACUGGGACUGAGACACGGCCCAGACUCCGACGGGAGGCAGCAGUGGGGAAUUUUGGACAAUGGGGGCAACCCUGAUCCAGCAAUGCCGCGUGCAGGAAGAAGGCCUUCGGGUUGUAAACUGCUUUUGUCAGGGAAGAAAUCCUCUGGGUUAAUACCUCGGGGGGAUGACGGUACCUGAAGAAUAAGCACCGGCUAACUACGUGCCAGCCGCCGCUGUAACAC